ensembl:lncRNA
GCGAUCUAGGCCCUUUUGUUUCUCAUAUUGUCAGUCAUGCAGGCUCAAGAGAUUUUUGUUCUCUGUAAGCUACAGCUGGGUAACCACACGCUGUCCUGUCUUUGCUCCGUCUUGUGUCUGGGCACUCUCACUGGAGGCUGAACAGGUUGUAUGGAAGUAAAGGAAAGAACUCUCCAGAUCUUUUUUGUUAUGUGAUUGCUGAAGCAUUUUCCUGGCACAGCAGUAAUGAUUGAUGAACACACUUCAGACUAGGAGCCACAGAGCAGUGAGGAUUUAUGCAUCUGGAAUAGAACUAUGAAUGGGAUUGCAGGAUUUACAUGGAGGACUCUGAAAUCCCUCACUUCCUGCUCCAGGAAGGGUAGGUGAAUGGGAUAAUUCAUAAUUAACUUGGUCCUUACUUCAGAAGGUUGUUAGUCAAAACAGGAAGAUAUAAUUCAGAUGAAUGUAUGUGAGAAUAGAAGAGACUUCAGAUGCAAACACACCCCUUAAUUGCAAACACCAGACUUCAGAAUUUUCUGUUCCUGUUUAGUGGAAAGAGGGUUCCCAUAAAGAGUAGCAUGAGGUUGCUACAAAUUACCCCUCCCUCAGCCUGAUCCCCCAGCUGAUACAGAGCUUUGGUAUUUGGUAGCUUUUCACCCAAAGUUGGAGAGUUCUGAAAUGAUGUAAGGGGACUAGAGAUGCACAAGUUGUUUCUAGCAGCUGCAGCCCAGGUUUGGGUUUCUCUUGCAUCCAUCUCUUACUUCUUCACUGCCCACAGAAGGGAAGAGAGAAAUCAGGAGCCAAACCCUUUGGAUCGGUGUGAGUUCACUUCCGGCUCUCUUUCUUUGUUUCUCACUGAUGCAUAGGGCCAUUAUGAGAGAAUGGCACAUAACUGAUAUUGAAACUAAAUCAUUUCUUUCUUGUUUCUUUCUACCUUGAAAGUAUUUAAUGCAUACAGACUUCAAGUUUUGAUCUGUGAAUGAGAUCUAUGCUUCUUAGUACAAUCUGUUCAGCAGGAGUAGAUACAACUUCUGUUGUAAAAGUGUAAGACUGUGGAGCUCUUAAAAUUUUUGCAGGGGUUCACAAUUCAUCCACGUAGGGUGGAUCAGGAUUUUGUUUGUAAUUCUGUGUAAGUAAUGAUGUUGAACAGUGCCUACGAGUGUGAACUCUGGAUAGCAGAUAUCACUAUCUGCAUAACUCCUGAGGCAAGCUGUGACACAAUAGUAAAGAACUAGUAAAAUUGAACUCUAACACAAGAACUAGUAAAACUGAGCUCUAAUGCAGGCAGAUUAGCAGCAGAAUCUUUGUAUUAAUUUGAAUGUUCUAAUAGCAUAGGUUUGUUUUGUCUAUUUAAGCAGGGCUAAAAAUAGAAGCUGCAUCAUCCAGGGCAGCGUGGGAUGGCUUCCUAAAUGAGUCUUUCCCUUACAUGAGUGAGGACAGAUAAUCCCCCCAAAAAGACAUGAGUCUGGGCAGGACUUCAGAAAGCCAGCACUGAGAUGUUGUCACACUUCCUACAGCACUGCAACCCAGAGGGAAUGGGACAGGAGGAAUGGUUCUGAUGAUGAUACUAUUGCCUUCAAGAUGCUAGGGAGGAAGUCUGAAGCUUUUCUUGAACCACAAAUCUGCAACUCAUGGAGAGGAAGGAGAAGUGUAUAGUGAGGUGGAGCAGGUUACAGCAAGGUGUGGGUGCAUCUUGGCACAUGGAGGGGGAGCAGGACAGGCAGCAGAACAGCAACACUGUCAGUAGUAUGUUGGAGUGGCUGGAGCUCUGUGAGCAGAGGAAGAAAGCAAAUGCAAGCAGUAACUCAUGUGACUUCUCCAGAAGAAGGAGUGGGAUGAAAGGAUGCAGUAGGGUGAAGAGGGUGGGAGUAUUCCUGUUGAAUGAUAUACAACAAAUACUUUCUUCCCUCUGUAGGUGUUUUUUGCUGGGCUGUAUUUGAGUGUAAAUUUGAGAAUCUCCAUCCUCUGCAGAGAGAGAAAAAGUGAAGUCAAGGUUGAGAGCCAGGAAUAAAACUUUUGUGAACUGGAGGAAAAAUCAGGGGUGAAAAGUGUACAGGCAAUAAUAACAAAAAAUAUUUUUUUGGAGGGGAAAUUUGCAAGAUAGGGGAUGGGAAGGAUGGGAAAGCAUCGUCACACUGCCCUCAAAUGUUUGGUUUGGUAGAAGGGGACUGGGGAAGCAACAUUCCUCCCACUGUAAGCAAGGAUCAGGUUUGUGACUGCCUGAGGAAUAUGAACAUCCUGAAAACCUACAGGUCUUGAUGAGGUACAUCCCAGAGUCCAAAGGAAAUUGGCUGAUGUGGUGGCCAACCCACUCUAUGGUACUGGAAAGGUCAUGGCAAUCAGGUGAUGUUUCGAUGAUGGAAAAAAGGCAACAUCACAACAAUUUUUAAGGGUAAAAAGGAUUACCUUCAGUGGACUGAUCAGUAGACAAAGAACUGGCUGCAGGAUCUAGUCC